rnacentral:rRNA from 1 species
UACGGAGGAGGCAAGCGUUAUCCGGAAUUAUUGGGCGUAAAGCGUCCGCAGGUGGCUGUGUAAGUCUGCUGUUAAAGAGUGAGGCUCAACCUCAUAAAGGCAGUGGAAACUACACGGCUAGAGUGCGUUCGGGGCAGAGGGAAUUCCUGGUGUAGCGGUGAAAUGCGUAGAGAUCAGGAAGAACCCCGGUGGCGAAAGCGCUCUGCUAGGCCGCAACUGACACUGAGGGACGAAAGCUAGGGGAGCGAAUGGG